ensembl:lncRNA
CAGAGCUCCAGCAUGGUGCCUAGUGCAGUGACCGUUCAGCAGUGUGCGCUGGCCUGGCAUGGAGUAGAGGCCCGUCCAUGUGUGCAGGUGCAGACAGAGCUGGCCUGGCUGCCCUGCCUGAGGCUGAGCUCCCCACUAGUCCCUGGACCUCUAAGGGCCCUGCCCUCCCCUCUCUGCCACCAUCUGGCCCCUGAACACUGCCAGGUGCUCUCUGCAGGGUCUCACCCCGGCCACCCUAAAGAAGGGCAACGUGGAGUCCCAUCCUGCCGUUGCUGCCUGCUUACGUGCUGUGCAACCUCAGCUGGCUAAUUGGUGAGACACCAAAGAAAGCAGGAACGCACCUAUGAGUUAGAGUCCAGAGCGACCGGGUCCGUCUACUCUACCGCCGCACACCCCUCCCGCCCGCCUGGCUCGGUCCUGGGGGGACUCACGCGAAAAUCAAAGCCACCGACAACUUCACAACGACUAUGUGCACGCCCGGACACUCAAGAGGAGCGGAAAACUCACACAGAGCAAGGAAGCAACGUUUGUGACGAUUUUACUGGCCCUUCUGCCAUUUCUAGCUUUGCCCCUCCCCCCUCAACACAUCUUAUUCACAAUUUGCAUCGCACAUCAUUAUUUCCUGGGGAUCCAGAGGAAUGCUUUCCUUCUGAGAUCUUUUUCUUUCUUUCUUUCCUUUUUUAUUUUUUCUUUUUGGUUCAAUAUCCAAAGUUUAAAACAGAAGUCAGGAACCAGGAAGCAUAUGCGGACGUCCAGUGUCUGGUUUGUACGCCGUGGACGGUAAAUGUCAGUGACCUCCGGCUGCAAAUGCAGGUGUCCUCUCAGCAUCUGAACAGCGAAGGGAAAUGGAUUGUGCCAAAUAUCCGAGUAAUUGUGUAAGGCCCUCAGAGCUGGGUUUUGGCUUCAGCAAGAUUUCUAUACAAUUUACCACAUUCUUGAACCUCUUUAUAAAGGGGAAAAGAAGGAACCCAAUCCUGUGAUUGUUAAUUUUAAUUAGAGUAGAUAUGUACAUAUAAUACUGUCCAGGUCACCUGGAUUUUACAGUGAUAUAUAAACAAACAUUCUUCAUUCACGUUGAUUAAAAAAGAAAAACAUAUCAAUGGACCCAUUUCCUCGUGUAAAUAUCAUGGCCGGAAGUGAGCGCACAUGCGUUUUGUGCUUUGACCCACACAAAAAUACACCGUUAUCCAUUGAGAAAAAUCUUGGGCGGGGUCUAGUUCCCGGAUGAGGGGACAUCUUGCUAAAAAAGGUUGGAUUCCGUUGGGCCUCUGCACUCUGCUUUUGGAAUCAAAAUGCAAAGCCACGUGCUUCCGUGGCAAAUCCAUGGGCAAAGACAACAAGUGGGCAUGGUUGGCACGGUGGGCGGGUCUGGUCUUGACAGAGCAGGAGGAACACUGUGGCCCUCAGGAAAGUGUCCUCUGAGACGGUGUGAUCAUUAAAGAAAAGGUAUCCUAAAAUGGUCAGAUCAUGCAGUUUUCUUCUGGAGGCAGUUCAGUGCAUCUGAGCGAGGAGCUCGGGUGCAGACGUGGGGCAGAGUGGGGAGUCCUGAAGUUACCCAACGGCGAGGAGCACCGGGGUCUUCUCCAUUCUCCAUUCCGAGUCUCGGACCCUCGUCAUCAUCCCACCUGCUCUGUCCUGCUUCACGGGAUGAAGAGACGUCUCCAGAACCUUCCAGGCUAGACUGUCCCUUUAAUAUGAGCCACCAAUGCAAUGGAUCAGGAGGCGCCUGUGCGAAGACCUGGACGGGAGUC